AUUGAACGCUGGCGGCAUGCCUUACACAUGCAAGUCGAACGGCAGCGGGGGAGAAGCUUGCUUUUCCUGCCGGCGAGUGGCGAACGGGUGAGUAAUGCCUAGGAAUCUGCCUGUUAGUGGGGGAUAACGCGGGGAAACUCGCGCUAAUACCGCAUACGUCCUACGGGAGAAAGCGGGGGCUCUUCGGACCUCGCGCUAACAGAUGAGCCUAGGUCGGAUUAGCUAGUUGGUGGGGUAAUGGCCCACCGAGGCGACGAUCCGUAACUGGUCUGAGAGGAUGAUAAGUCACACUGGAACUGAGACACGGUCCAGACUCCUACGGGAGGCAGCAGUGGGGAAUAUUGGACAAUGGGCGAAAGCCUGAUCCAGCCAUGCCGCGUGUGUGAAGAAGGCCUUCGGGUUGUAAAGCACUUAGUUGGGGAAGAAAAGUAAUAAGUAAAUAAUUUAUUGCUCUGACGGUACCCAAAGAAUAAGCACCGGCUAACUCUGUGCCAGCCGCCGCCGCAG
rnacentral:rRNA from 1 species